UCUGUGAUUGCUUCGCCUUAU
rnacentral:snRNA from 1 species